rnacentral:lncRNA from 1 species
AUGGCUUUGGAGUUGUUAACGGUUGAAUCAAAAGACUCCACUGCUCUUCAGCUGUCCCACUUCUACACUGUUUGUAGAGAAGUGUUGUACCCAAUUUACCUAGCUUGUAUUUUGUGGAUGGCUUUUAACUACAAGCACCUACAACACCAGCCUUUCUACUUUCUGGGCUGGAGAAGCUGGAGGCUUGGUUUCCAGAAUGAAGAGCUGGUGCUGAGAGAUGGGUUCCAGAGAGAAAAGGCCGUCCAAAGAGAAUGUGAAGAUCCUGACUGAAGGAUGUAUCUGGGAAGUGAAGGAAGAUCCUGGAGGUGAG